rfam:Pannonibacter phragmitetus strain 31801, complete genome.
CUCAAGGGGCUAUUCGCGAUUGCCCCGUGAGGCGACAGCCCAAAGAUCGCGUCCUAACUCCCGAAAAACAGGAGCUUGGACGCCAUG